UACGUAGGGGGCUAGCGUUGUCCGGAAUCAUUGGGCGUAAAGAGCGUGUAGGCGGUCCGGUAAGUCCGCUGUGAAAGUCGAGGGCUCAACCCUCGAAUGCCGGUGGAUACUGUCGGGCUAGAGUGCGGAAGAGGCGAGUGGAAUUCCUGGUGUAGCGGUGGAAUGCGCAGAUAUCAGGAGGAACACCAACGGCGAAGGCAGCUCGCUGGGACGGUACUGACGCUGAGGCGCGAAAGCGUGGGGAGCGAACAGG
rnacentral:rRNA from 1 species